rnacentral:tRNA from 1 species
AGAAUAUAAAAUUUAAAGCUGCUAACUUUAAUUAUAGCGAAAUACGUUAAUGUUCUA